rnacentral:rRNA from 1 species
GACGAACGCUGGCGGCGUGCUUAACACAUGCCAGUCGAACGGAAAGGCCCAGCUUGCUGGGUGCUCGAGUGGCGAACGGGUGAGUAACACGUGGGUGAUCUGCCUCUAACUUCGGGAUAAGCUUGGGAAACUGGGUCUAAUACCGGAUAGGACAAUCGUUUAGUGUCGGUUGUGGAAAGUUUUUUCGGUUAGGGAUGAGCCCGCGGCCUAUCAGCUUGUUGGUGGGGUAAUGGCCUACCAAGGCGUCGACGGGUAGCCGGCCUGAGAGGGUGGACGGCCACAUUGGGACUGAGAUACGGCCCAGACUCCUACGGGAGGCAGCAGUGGGGAAUAUUGCACAAUGGGCGGAAGCCUGAUGCAGCGACGCCGCGUGGGGGAUGACGGCCUUCGGGUUGUAAACCUCUUUCGACAGGGACGAAGCUUUGGUGACGGUACCUGUAUAAGAAGCACCGGCUAACUACGUG